rnacentral:rRNA from 1 species
GACGAACGCUGGCGGCACGCUUAACACAUGCAAGUCGAACGAGAGAAGAGAAGCUUGCUUUUCUGAUCUAGUGGCGGACGGGUGAGUAACACGUGAGCAAUCUGCCUUUCAGAGGGGGAUACCGAUUGGAAACGAUCGUUAAUACCGCAUAACAUAAUUGAACCGCAUGAUUUGAUUAUCAAAGAUUUAUCGCUGAAAGAUGAGCUCGCGUCUGAUUAGCUAGUUGGUAAGGUAACGGCUUACCAAGGCGACGAUCAGUAGCCGGACUGAGAGGUUGAUCGGCCACAUUGGGACUGAGACACGGCCCAGACUCCUACGGGAGGCAGCAGUGGGGAAUAUUGCACAAUGGAGGAAACUCUGAUGCAGCGAUGCCGCGUGAGGGAAGAAGGUUUUAGGAUUGUAAACCUCUGUCUUCAGGGACGAAAAAAGACGGUACCUGAGGAGGAAGCUCCGGCUAACUACGUGCCAGCAGCCGCGGUAAUACGUAGGGAGCGAGCGUUGUCCGGAAUUACUGGGUGUAAAGGGAGCGUAGGCGGGAUCGCAAGUCAGAUGUGAAAACUAUGGGCUUAACCCAUAAACUGCAUUUGAAACUGUGGUUCUUGAGUGAAGUAGAGGUAAGCGGAAUUCCUAGUGUAGCGGUGAAAUGCGUAGAUAUUAGGAGGAACAUCAGUGGCGAAGGCGGCUUACUGGGCUUUAACUGACGCUGAGGCUCGAAAGCGUGGGGAGCAAACAGGAUUAGAUACCCUGGUAGUCCACGCCGUAAACGAU